rnacentral:rRNA from 1 species
AACACGUAUCCAACCUGCCGUCUACUCUUGGACAGCCUUCUGAAAGGAAGAUUAAUACAAGAUGGCAUCAUGAGUCCGCAUGUUCACAUGAUUAAAGGUAUUCCGGUAGACGAUGGGGAGUGCGUUCCAUUAGAUAGUAGGCGGGGUAACGGCCCACCUAGUCUUCGAUGGAUAGGGGUUCUGAGAGGAAGGUCCCCCACAUUGGAACUGAGACACGGUCCAAACUCCUACGGGAGGCAGCAUG